rnacentral:misc_RNA from 1 species
AUUUUUUAUUGUUAAUAAUGUCAAAAAAUGUAAAAAAAUAAAGUUUAACAUUUUGUUUUUGUUUUUUGUAAGUGAUAUUUUUACAAACCCUCUGGUAUAAAGUUGUGUUAUGAUAGCCUAAAGAUACGUAGAAAAUUUCAUGUCUAUACUACUAACAGCUACUAAGAUAAAGGUAUAUGUACAUUAAAAGUUACAGUUGCGGAAAACAAAGAAAAUGUGGAAACAGUAACACUUAAAAAGUUGUAAUGAACAGUAAGUAAACUAUGAAAGUUUGUCUAUUAUAUAUUUAUUCAUUAGUCUUAUCUUUUACUUUUUUUUACUGAUAUACCUCAUCUAGACUUGCUCUGACUUUUUCCAUUCUUUGUUUUCUGCAAGAUUCCAAAAAAAAGUUAAACAGAUAAAAAUGGUUAUGUUUUUUUAAAUACCUCUGAUAUACAAAUAUAUUAAAAUGGUCUGAAUAUUAGGUUAUUUUAAUCUUAAAUGUCCAGUAUUAUGCUUGCUAACAUAUAGAUGAGGCCAUGUAAAUAAAAAAUGAAUGUGUCUGAAAAUGAAACUGUAAACACAAAAAAAUACAGUGUCAAAAUUUAGCACUCUGGAGCUGUGGUGUUCAGUGCCUCUAAAAUACUGUUAAUCAUGUAGCAUUAACAAUGAAGAGGUACUGUAAAAAAAAGGAAAACUAAAAUUGGUGUAAGAGAAAUUUAAAUUAAAUUAAAUCUAUUAUUGUCAUUUAAAAUUGAUUCAGGUGAAGCCAAUUUGGAGCUACCCAGAAAAAUAAAUCUGAUCUGUCAGUGUUCAGCGGCAAGUAGAGAAUGCCUACUGGGUAGGAGAACAUGUGGCGAGUCUAGUGGGGGGAGGACAGCGCAUCACAUUGAAUAUCUGAGUGCACUAAAAGACAAGACUGGGCCUUGAGCGUGACCUUCCAAGCACUAAGAUCAUUCAUUGCUCCUAUUAAUAGAAAGGCUAAAUAUAGAGAAAACAUUUUCAAGGAUCCUGAAAAUGGACUGAAGGGAAAAAGAAGCAAAGAAAAUAAGAUAAAAAGAAAUUAAAAGCUAAUAAACCAAUAUUGGAGCAUAAAAGACACAAGAACAGGGAAAGACAACUACUUUACAGAAAGAAAAAGGCGCAGCAGCUAAAGAAAAGUAAUGAUGAAAACAUCAAAGCAUACAAUGAAACUUACCUCGGAAUAUGUAAAAGCCCAUGCACACUGGAAAAAGCAAUAAAAAAGCUAAAUAUAAACUACCUUCUAGUCCAUCCAAGAAGAAAACGGUACUCAAAAGAUUAACAAAGAAAAGGCCCAAGACAAUUAUCUGAAGGAAGACACUUUUUUAAUAAUCAUGAAAUCUGAAACUGCCAGGUCUAGUGAAGAUUCGGUUCAUCACAGAGAAUGUCUGCACCACCUGCUUCUUAAGACAAACCCACUAGUCUCCAAAGUAGUUAAUACAAUAUUGUUAAACAUGUUAAAAUUCAAAUUCAAAAUUCUUUACUUUUAAAUUAAACUUGUUGUAUAACUAGCCAA